rnacentral:misc_RNA from 1 species
GCCACUUGCUCAGUUGUUAUACCAUUUUGACUGGAAACUUGCCAGUGGAUUGAAGCCUGAAGAGCUUGACAUGACCGAGGCCAAUGGCUUUACAAUAAGAAANNNNNNACUUGUACUUACUCCCAAUCCCUUAUCAUCCUUUGUCUGUUGAAUAAUGCUAGCAAGAGAGAAGCUAGCUAUACAUAAAAACAUAACAAAGUUGGACCACA